UGUUUAAAUGUUUUUUUCGCCUAAGGAUGGGUCUGCGGCCGAUUAGGUAGUUGGUUAGGUAAUGGCUUACCAAGCCGUUGAUCGGUACGGGUUGUGAGAGCAAGAGCCCGGAGAUGGAACCUGAGACAAGGUUCCAGGCCCUACGGGGUGCAGCAGGCGCGAAACCUCCGCAAUGUGAGAAAUCGCGACGGGGGGAUCCCAAGUGCCAUUCUUAACGGGAUGGCUUUUCUUUAGUGUAAAGAGCUUUUGGAAUAAGAGCUGGGCAAGACCGGUGCCAGCCGCCGCGGUAACACCGGCAGCUCUAGUGGUAGCAAUUUUUAUUGGGCCUAAAGCGUCCGUAGCCGGUUUAAUAAGUCUCUGGUGAAAUCCUGUAGCUUAACUAUGGGAAUUGCUGGAGAUACUAUUAGACUUGAGACCGGGAGAGGUUAGAGGUACUCCCAGGGUAGAGGUGAAAUUCUGUAAUCCUGGGAGGACCGCCUGUUGCGAAGGCGUCUAACUGGAACGGUUCUGACGGUGAGGGACGAAAGUUAGGGGCGCGAACCGGAUUAGAUACCCGGGUAGUCCUAACUGUAAACGAUGCGGACUUGGUGUUGGGGUGGCUUUGAGCUGC
rnacentral:rRNA from 1 species